rnacentral:sRNA from 1 species
UCCGCCAUGGACGGCGGUGGUUCAAAUGUCGAGAGUUUUGCGUAAGCAAAACUCUAAAAUGAAAAAUAUACACGGACGUAUAUUUUUCAUUAUCC